rnacentral:rRNA from 1 species
UACGUAGGGUGCGAGCGUUAAUCGGAAUUACUGGGCGUAAAGCGUGCGCAGGCGGUUUUGUAAGCCAGGUGUGAAAUCCCCGGGCUCAACCUGGGAAUGGCAUUUGGGACUGCAAGGCUGGAGUGCGGCAGAGGAGACUGGAAUUCCUGGUGUAGCAGUGAAUGCGUAGAUAUCAGGAGGAACACCGAUGGCGAAGGCAGGUCUCUGGGCUGACACUGACGCUCAUGACACGAA